AGGAAGCAGAGAAGCUGCUGCAGACACUUACUUGCCUUUUGCAGUACCGGUUUACACUUUGCACAUGGAUGUGUAUUCCUUGUCACCACACCAAGAAUAAAGGAAAGAGAGAAGCUGCUGCAGACACUUUCCUGCCUUUUGCAGUGCCAGUUUACACUUUGCACAUGGAUGUGUUUUCCUUGUCACCAGACCAAGAAUAAAGGAAGCAGAGAAGCUGCUGCAGACACUUACUUGCCUUUUGCAGUACCGGUUUACACUUUGCACAUGGAUGUGUAUUCCUUGUCACCACACCAAGAAUAAAGG